rnacentral:rRNA from 1 species
GACGAACGCUGGCGGCGUGCCUAACACAUGCCAGUCGAACGGAAAGGCCCUGCUUUUGUGGGGUGCUCGAGUGGCGAACGGGUGAGUAACACGUGAGUAACCUGCCCUUGACUUUGGGAUAACUUCAGGAAACUGGGGCUAAUACCGGAUAGGAGCUCCUGCUGCAUGGUGGGGGUUGGAAAGUUUCGGCGGUUGGGGAUGGACUCGCGGCUUAUCCGCUUGUUGGUGGGGUAGUGGCUUACCAAGCCUUUGACGGAUAGCCGGCUUGAGAGGUUGACCGGCGACAUGGGGACUGAGAGAGGGCGCAGACUCCAACGGGAGGCAGCGGGGGGGAAUAUGGCACAGUGGGCGGAAGCCUGUUGCAGAAACGCCGGGAGCGGAAUGACGGCUUACGGGUUGUAAACCGCUUUCGCCGGUGACGAAGCGUGGGUGACGGUAAUGGGUAAAAAAGCACCGGCUAACUACGUG